AUUGAACGCUGGCGGCAUGCUUUACACAUGCAAGUCGAACGGUAACAGGCCGCAAGGUGCUGACGAGUGGCGAACGGGUGAGUAAUGCAUCGGAACGUGCCCAGUCGUGGGGGAUAACGCAGCGAAAGCUGUGCUAAUACCGCAUACGAUCUAUGGAUGAAAGCGGGGGACCGUAAGGCCUCGCGCGAUUGGAGCGGCCGAUGUCAGAUUAGGUAGUUGGUGGGGGAAAGGCUCACCAAGCCAACGGUCUGUAGCUGGUCUGAGAGGACGACCAGCCACACUGGGACUGAGACACGGCCCAGACUCCUACGGGAGGCAGCAGUGGGGAAUUUUGGACAAUGGGCGCAAGCCUGAUCCAGCAAUGCCGCGUGCAGGAAGAAGGCCUUCGGGUUGUAAACUGCUUUUGUACGGAACGAAAAGGUUUGGGUUAAUACCCUGGGCCGAUGACGGUACCGUAAGAAUAAGCACCGGCUAACUACGUGCCAGCCGCCGCGGUAA
rnacentral:rRNA from 1 species